rnacentral:tRNA from 1 species
UUCCUAGUGGGCCAGUGGCUAAGACUCUGCGCUUCCACUGCAGGGGGUGCAGGUUUGAUCCCUGCUUGGGGAA